UACGUAGGGCGCAAGCGUUGUCCGGAAUUAUUGGGCGUAAAGAGCUCGUAGGCGGCUUGUCACGUCGGAUGUGAAAGCCCGGGGCUUAACCCCGGGUCUGCAUUCGAUACGGGCAGGCUAGAGUGUGGUAGGGGAGAUCGGAAUUCCUGGUGUAGCGGUGAAAUGCGCAGAUAUCAGGAGGAACACCGGUGGCGAAGGCGGGUCUCUGGGCCAUUACUGACGCUGAGGAGCGAAAGCGUGGGGAGCGAACAGG
rnacentral:rRNA from 1 species